rnacentral:lncRNA from 1 species
AACAAGGGUUUACAAGGGUUUACAAUGGUGGCCUACAGCCCGAGACUCUGGCUGAUGACAACUGGUGAAACAAGCUCAACCAGUAUCAAAAAUUGUGACUAAAUCUGACACAAAYCUAAGAAGUCUGUAUGAGUCUUGAUUUAGGAAAGCAUUGAUCUCAGAAUCAGUGAUARUAUGAUGGCAAGCCAAGAAUGGAAUCAAGUCAGUGUUUGAGGGCGGAGCAAACACAUACAAAGUCUUAGACAUCUCCUCAAAAAGGUCCUUGUAUCUCGUGCGUAGCUCACGCACCUCAGUACACUUGCAAAAGAAAAGCACAUGCUUCUCAGCCUGGACUUCCCCACACUCACACUUAUCACAGAUGCUUGAUCCCCCAAGCCAUUUACAUGACUCCA